UACGGGAGGCAGCAGUGGGGAAUAUUGCACAAUGGGCGCAAGCCUGAUGCAGCGACGCCGCGUGAGGGAUGACGGCCUUCGGGUUGUAAACCUCUUUCAGUACCGACGAAGCUUCGGUGACGGUAGGUACAGAAGAAGCACCGGCUAACUACGUGCCAGCAGCCGCGGUAAUACGUAGGGUGCGAGCGUUGUCCGGAAUUACUGGGCGUAAAGAGCUCGUAGGCGGUUUGUCGCGUCGUUCGUGAAAAUUCACAGCUUAACUGUGGACGUGCGGGCGAUACGGGCAGACUUGAGUGCUCCAGGGGAGACUGGAAUUCCUGGUGUAGCGGUGAAAUGCGCAGAUAUCAGGAGGAACACCGGUGGCGAAGGCGGGUCUCUGGGGAGUAACUGACGCUGAGGAGCGAAAGCGUGGGUAGCGAACAGGAUUAGAUACCCUGGUAGUCCACGCCGUAAACGGUGGGUACUAGGUGUGGGUUCCUUUUCACGGGAUCCGUGCCGUAGCUAACGCAUUAAGUACCCCGCCUGGGGAGUACGGCCGCAAGGCUAAAACUCAAAGGAAUUGACGGGGGCCCGCACAAGCGGCGGAGCAUGUGGAUUAAUUCGAUGCAACGCGAAGAACCUUACCUGGGUUUGACAUACAUCAGACGCAGUCAGAGAUGGCUGUUCCCUUGUGGUUGGUGUACAGGUGGUGCAUGGCUGUCGUCAGCUCGUGUCGUGAGAUGUUGGGUUAAGUCCCGCAACGAGCGCAACCCUUGUCCUGUAUUGCCAGCGGGUUAUGCCGGGGACUUGCAGGAGACUGCCGGGGUCAACUCGGAGGAAGGUGGGGAUGACGUCAAGUCAUCAUGCCCCUUAUGUCCAGGGCUUCACACAUGCUACAAUGGCCGGUACAGAGUGCUGCGAUACCGUGAGGUGGAGCGAAUCACUUAAAGCCGGUCUCAGUUCGGAUUGGGGUCUGCAACUCGACCCCAUGAAGUCGGAGUCGCUAGUAAUCGCAGAUCAGCAACGCUGCGGUGAAUACGUUCCCGGGCCUUGUACACACCGCCCGUCACGUCAUGAAAGUCGGUAACACCCGAAGCCGGUGGCCUAACCCGUAAGGGGGGGAGCUGUCGAAGGUGGGAUCGGCGAUUGGGACGAAGUCGUAACAAGGUAGCCGUA
rnacentral:rRNA from 1 species